rnacentral:lncRNA from 1 species
AAAAAGUAAUUUUAUUGAUAAAAAGAUUAUGUUUUUUUAAGGGAGGGGGUGCGGGGAGUAAAAAGUAAAAGGUUUUGAAAGAGAAACGUAUUUUCUGUUUAUUUAACAUGUUAAGUUUAGGUAAUAUAACAAAUUCCUCGGUUCUUUUUUCCUCUAAGCAUAUCAUUGAGGGAAAGAAAUUCAAAAGCAAUUAAUCUAAUUUAAACUACUAACCCUUGUAGCUGUGUUUUUUUCCAUACACCGAUUUGAAAGUACACAAUUUGUCAAAGUCUUAAUCGUCACCAAUUAAAUAAAUAUAGGGAAUAAAUUUAACGGAAACGAUAAAAAAUAAAUAGACCAUUAAAUCGCAAUUCUAGAAAGAGUCUAAAUAUAAAAAAAAAUGUUAAUUUGAAUCUUACCAUAGUCGUAUUUCCCCUUUUCGUUGUCCUACAAGAAACUUUCCUAGGAUCCAUGGAUUGUAGAAUAACGUGCAAAUUUCUUAAACGUUCACGUUUAUUGAUUGUGUCAUGUGAUAUUGUUAUUGGCCAAUCAAAUCGGUAUAUGUAACUUGCUUGGUCAAUAACUAUAGCUUCAUUUUGUUGCACAUUUAGCAAUAGCGAAUUGUAAAGUAAAUACUAUCUACAUCCGCUAUCACAUAUUUUUUGAAGUUCGUCCGAAGUCCUAUUUUUUUUUUACUCAUCAAAGGUUUUGCAUGACUGUGCAACUGUUAUGAUUGUUGCUCUACUUCAC